rnacentral:lncRNA from 1 species
GGGCCCUCUGCUUUGCUCAAAAUUAAUUCUGGGUCUGAAAAUAGGAGGUCGAGGCACUGUGGCCUGAUGAGACCCAACUGAGUGCUUGUUUACAUGAGCAUUGAAAGACAUAGAAUCUGGACUAAUAUGAGAAGUAGAUUGAACUUGUCUUUGUUUCUCAUCAUUAAGCGCUAUGUUGUAAACACUGUCAAGGGAAGAAAAUUGCUGCAUCAUCAACAAAUUGCUCCUAACCCCCAUAUACACUUCAUUUAACCCCAUAAGAAACUGAAAAAACCUUGCUUUCAUCAUCUUCCUCAAUUAUCCCAUUCUUGGCAGCACACACACAUCUAUGCCCAUGGUUUGUGCACAUUGUGCCCAAUUCAUCCCACAAGCCUUUGAGCUUGUUGAAGUAAGAGGCUAUAUCUAAGGAGCCUUGGGAUAUGUGUGAAAGUUCCCUCUUUAAUUCAAAGAUAUUGGUCUUAUUAGGGGUACCAUAUCUUUUCUCAAUUUGGGACCAUAUACUCUAUGCAGUAUCGGAAUACUGUACACUAUCAGCAAUUUGUGGAGACAGAGAAGAGGUCAACCAAGAAAUAACCAUGUUAUUACACCUAUCCCACAGUCUCUGUUGAGCCACAUUAUUGUUAGG